CCAAACCCCUGUGAACAUACCACUUGUUGCCUCGGCGGAUCAGCCCGCUCCCGGUAAAACGGGACGGCCCGCCAGAGGACCCCUAAACUCUGUUUCUAUAUGUAACUUCUGAGUAAAACCAUAAAUAAAUCAAAACUUUCAACAACGGAUCUCUUGGUUCUGGCAUCGAUGAAGAACGCAGCAAAAUGCGAUAAGUAAUGUGAAUUGCAGAAUUCAGUGAAUCAUCGAAUCUUUGAACGCACAUUGCGCCCGCCAGUAUUCUGGCGGGCAUGCCUGUUCGAGCGUCAUUUCAACCCUCAAGCACAGCUUGGUGUUGGGACUCGCGUUAAUUCGCGUUCCUCAAAUUGAUUGGCGGUCACGUCGAGCUUCCAUAGCGUAGUAGUAAAACCCUCGUUACUGGUAAUCGUCGCGGCCACGCCGUUAAACCCCAACUUCUGAAUGUUGACCUCGGAUCAGGUAGGAAUACCCGCUGAACUUAAGCAUAU
rnacentral:rRNA from 1 species